rnacentral:rRNA from 1 species
UACGUAGGGUGCGAGCGUUAAUCGGAAUUACUGGGCGUAAAGCGUGCGCAGGCGGAUAUUUAAGUCAGAUGUGAAAUCCCCGGGCUUAACCUGGGAAUGGCAUUUGAAACUGGAUGUCUAGAGUGUGGCAGAGGGGGGUGGAAUUCCACGUGUAGCAGUGAAAUGCGUAGAGAUGUGGAGGAACACCGAUGGCGAAGGCAGCCCCCUGGGCUAACACUGACGCUCAUGCACGAAAGCGUGGGGAGCAAACAGG